rnacentral:tRNA from 1 species
GCAGUGGUGGUUCAGCGGUAGAUUCUCACCUUCCAAGGGGGAGACCCGGGUCGAUUCCUGGCCAGUGCA